rnacentral:misc_RNA from 1 species
GAUGAAGAACGUAGCGAAAUGCGAUAAGUAAUGUGAAUUGCAGAAUUCAGUGAAUCAUCGAAUCUUUGAACGCACAUUGCGCCCCCUGGUAUUCCGGGGGGCAUGCCUGUCCGAGCGUCAUUACAACCCUCAAGCUCAGCUUGGUGUUGGGCCCCGCCGCCCCGGCGGGCCCUAAAGUCAGUGGCGGUGCCGUCCGGCUCCGAGCGUAGUAAUUCUUCUCGCUCUGGAGGUCCGGUCGUGUGCUCGCCAGCAACCCCCAAUUUUUUUCAGGUUGACCUCGGAUCAGGCAGGGAUACCCGCUGAACUUAAGCAUAUCAAUAAGCGGAGGA